CUGAACCUUUCAUCUCCAAUAGGUCCAGAUUAAUUCACAGCAUCCACAGAAGUCAAUAGUCACGCUGAGUGGUGCCUUCUCUUACUCUUUCCGGGUUGGGGGGAAGGAGGAUGGGACUACAUGCUGAUAUCCUUAAAAGAAUUUAGAAAUAAAUCUAAUAAGGGUUCUUUCACACAGCAGAAUUGUUUAUUUGAAUUCCAUCAAAGGAGAGUGCAAGUAUAAUCAGGGAAUGGGCCCCGCUAUUCAGAGGCACUUAGCAAGCUAUUUGGCCCCCAUGCUGAAGUUAACUAUUCCAUUGUGACAAAAUAAAAACACCAUUAUAAGUUGACACAGCCCAGGCAAAAUGCUUGUGGGUUUUAAGGAGCUGUAGGGAUGAGCUUGGUUAAAAUAAAAAUAAAUGGCCCCAGCAGGCAGGACACAACAGAGAUGCUAUAGGACAUGCUUUGUAUUUUUAUGUACAAAGACCAUGCUUACAGAGCAGCAGCAUCUGCUGCAGUGAAAGCAGAUGAGGAAACUGACUCUCAGAGAAGUUAAGGAUCACAAGGCUUUAAAUAUCAAAAGGCAGGAUUCAAUUGAUCUGAUAGAAGACAGCCUCCAAGCAGAUGCAUUAUUCUGACUGUGAUUAACAGAAUGGAAAGUGUGACUACACGCCAAGAGGGAAAAAGCCUGUUUUGAUCGUCAUUAUCACACCAUUACUCUGAUUUAGUGCUCCUCAAAUAAUAGGAGAAAUGAAGACAAUUAAAAGAGAAUGAAAUGCCAUUAUUGGAAAAACAAACAAUAGGGAUUUAGGCUGAUUUGUCAAAACCAGCAGGAAGUUUCUGGGGGAGAGCCUUAAGUCUUCACUGUCUAUGAAACAAUUUCAACUGCCAAGAAUUGAACCCUAUUAACUGCACUCAUCCUCUAUGUGGAGCAGGUUCAGUCUCCUCUAAUAGAGUGGGCAGUAAGUGCUCAAAAAACAACAUAUAUUCAGUCUCCCAAAUUGGAAAACAAGCUUGUCUUUCAUUCAAAAAAGGAUGGGGGCUCAACUUCAGACCUUCUUCUUUAUUUGAAAAAUAC